AAUAGAUACCCCGGUAGUCCACGCCGUAAACGAUGGAUGCUAGCUGUUAUGAGUAUCGACCCUUGUAGUAGCGUAGCUAACGCGUUAAGCAUCCCGCCUGUGGAGUACGGUCGCAAGACUAAAACAUAAAGGAAUUGACGGGGACCCGCACAAGCGGUGGAGCGUGUUGUUUAAUUCGAUGGUAAGCGAAGAACCUUACCCAGGCUUGACAUCCUGCUAAUCACUCCGAAAGGAGAGAGUGCCUUCGGGCCGCAGUGACAGGUGUUGCAUGGCCGUCGUCAGCUCGUGUCGUGAGAUGUUUGGUUAAGUCCAUCAACGAGCGCAACCCUUAUAGUUAGUUGUAUUUCUCUAGCUAGACUGCCCUGGCAACAGGGAGGAAGGAGGGGAUGAUGUCAGGUCAGUAUUACCCUUACGCCUGGGGCUACAAACACGCUACAAUGGCCGGUACAAAGGGCAGCCAACCCGCGAGGGGGAGCAAAAUCCCAUCAAAGCCGGUCUCAGUUCGGAUUGCAGGCUGAAACUCG
rnacentral:rRNA from 1 species